UACGUGGGCAGCGAGCGUUGUUCGGAGUUACUGGGCGUAAAGAGUGCGUAGGCGGUUUUCUAAGUUUGGUGUGAAAUCUCCCGGCUCAACUGGGAGGGUGCGCCGAAGACUGGAAGGCUUGAGUAUGGGAGAGGUAAGCGGAAUUCCUGGUGUAGCGGUGAAAUGCGUAGAGAUGCGGAGGAACACCGAUGGCGAAGGCAGCCCCCUGGGCUAACACUGACGCUCAGGCACGAAAGCGUGGGGAGCAAACAGG
rnacentral:rRNA from 1 species